AAGCGCAGACCCUAGCUUCAUCACGAGUUCCUUCUUCUCCGUGAAUUCUCUCUUCUUCUCCCUUGCCGUAGCACCACUCUAUGGCCGUGUUCUCUCUUUUUCUCCCUCAUCAUCACAUCGCUGCUCUAGAUCGCGCGCUUUCUCUCUUCUCCUUCUCAGUCACACCACUUCGUCAUUAAUCUUGAGCUCAUCAUCACCUUUGAUUCAAGCUCAAUCUUCUUCUAAAAAGAGGGCUUCUUCCCCUGUCACUUCUAUUUUCUCAAAAAACCAAUAAUCUGUUCGAUUUGAUGAAUUAAUUAGAUGCUGCAUCUCUGGUUCUGCAUCGCUCUGUACUCACGAUACGUUUUGUUUCUUUUGCGCUGUGAUAUUUUGAACAGUAUGAGCAUUCUGGUUAGUAGGACCUUCAAUCCAGGAGAAAUUAAUUUUCUUGUCUGAAUUAGAUGCUCGGAUUUCCUACUGCCUUUGUGCGUGGAGAUGUGCAAAGUGAGAUUAAGAUAUGCUUAUUUUUCACAUAUGCUAACACUAUGGCACAACGAGAGAUAGAGUGAGAAAGUGGCUUGAACUAUGAGGCUUGAUCAAUAACUUGAAGAUCUUUUUUGUGCUUUCAUGAACUGUUAAGAACUUUUUGUUGAUAUAGUUUGUAGGAUAAUAUUUCUUGUAUAGUGAGUGUUUUAAGUGAUUGAGGAUCUUGUCAAUUGUAUAAUGUUUCUUUAUAAUAUAUUGAAUUUUUAAAUCUCAGCAAUAAAAUAUUUUUUACAUUGUUC